rfam:Spiroplasma clarkii strain CN-5, complete genome.
UAAGUAUGUCAUUGUAAGGGUGACGUUCGAAACUGGUCAGGACCGGAAGGUAGCAGCCAUAAGAAUCCAGUGCCUUGUACAAUGACUUUUUUAUUUUG